rnacentral:lncRNA from 1 species
GUUUUAUUUCUUGUGCUUUUUAUACUACCAAAUAUAUAAGCAUAUUUGUGGCUUAUUAAACAUUUUUAACCUCAUUUAUAAUAGCUUCAUAAUAUUCUAUUUUAGAGAAGUUCCAUAGUUUAUUUGGCAAAUCCCUUAUUGUCAGAUACUCAGGUUGUUUCAAAUUAUUUUUCAGUUUCUUGAAGGGAAUGUACAAGUUCUAACCUGGGGAUAAUCACAAUACUUGGCUCAUGGGUCAUAGUGCUGAUUAAAUAAAUUAUUAAAUAAAUUAUUAAAUAAAUAAAUUAUUAUAAAGUGUUUAGGAAAUGAAACAAGUACUGUAUGUGUGUUAGCGAAGGUUAUUCUUUUAGGCCUAUUAUUUUGAUAAUGCUAUAGUUGUUACCAUUUUAUAUGCAUCUUUGAACACAUAAGUGAUUAUUUCCUGGGUCAGAGGGGAGAGCAGUGUGAAGGCUGGCAUAAAAUUCAUCCCCAAUUUAUGGAGGGUGUGCUUGCCACUGACAGGGAGACCAAAGGGGUGGAACUGAGCCCCAGGCUUUGGCUGGAAACAUCUGUCAUGAUCUGACUGUGAUGCCUUACGAAGUAUGAACAAUGAGUUAGUUCACCUCAGGGCUGAAAAAAGGAAGCGUAGAAAGCAUGCAAAAUAGAGACGCCCAGGAAAGUAUCUGCCAGCGCAGCAAAGAGACCAGUUUGCCCUCGAGCUCCAGAUUGGGCUUUGUUCUGGCACUGAGCCAUGAAUCUACCAAGGAGCAAACCCCUCCAGAAAACCUGUCAUUUUCACAUGGAAUUUUGAUGAUGGUGAAGACUUGAAGUGGGUUUCUACAGAAUCAGGGGUCCGGGAGUGUCAGAGUCGCCUGAACACCAGGAGGGCGUCUGGGUACCCAGGACGGCGGCAAGUCAGGACAGUGGCCAUGAGCCAGACCAGCAGUAGAGGAGCCUUCUAAGUAAGUAUUUCUGAGUAACUUUGAAAAUUACAUGUCAUUUGUGUACAGUCCCCCAUUAUCCUCGCUUUUACUUGCAGCAGUUUCCUUUCUGUGGUCAACUGAGGUCCAAAAAUAUUAAAUGGAAAAUUCCGGAAGUAAAUAACUCAU